rnacentral:rRNA from 1 species
UUAAUGUCCAGGAGAGUGGCCUUCCGCAUGGAGGGCUGACUAGAGAUUUAUCGGUAUGGGAUGAGCUUGCGUCCGAUUAGCUAGUUGGCGGGGCAACGGCCCACCAAGGCGACGAUCGGUGGCCGGCCUGAGAGGGUGAUCGGCUACAUUGGGACUGAGAUACGGCCCAGACUCCUACGGGAGGCAGCAGUAGGGAAUAUUGCACAAUGGGGGAAACCCUGAUGCAGCAACGCCACGUGUGGGAAGAAGCAUUUCGGUGUGUAAACCACUGUCAUGAGGGAAUAAGGCCCUUAUUCGUAAGGGAUUGAAUGUACCUUGAGAGGAAGCACCGGCAAACCUCGUGCCAGCAGCCGCGGUAAUACGAGGGGUGCAAGCGUUGUUCGGAAUUACUGGGCGUAAAGGGAGCGUAGGCGGAGAUUCAAGCGGAUUGUACAAUCCCGGGGCCCAACCCCGGUUCUGCAGUCCGAACUGGAUUUCUUGGAUAGUUCAGGGGCAGGCGGAAUUCCUGGUGUAGCGGUGGAAUGCGUAGAGAUCAGGAAGAACACCGAUGGCGAAGGCAGCCUGCUGGGGACUCAUCGACGCUGAGGCUCGAAAGUGCGGGUAGCAAACAGGAUUAGAUACCCUGGUAGUCCGCACCGUAAACAAUGCAUACUGGGUGUCCGGGGGUUUCCCCGGGUACCGUAGCCAACGCGUUAAGUAUGCCGCCUGGGGAGUACGUACGCAAGUAUGAAACUCAAAGGAAUUGACGGGGGCCCGCACAAGCGGUGGAGCAUGUGGUUUAAUUCGAAGCAACGCGCAGAACCUUACCAGGGUUUGACAUGGAAACGCCGCGCGAGAGAUAAAUCACUA